GUUGUAUAGUCAAGUAAUUAAGUGCAUGUGGUGGAUGCCUUGGCAGUCAGAGGCGAAGAAAGACGUGAUAGCCUGCGAAAAGCUCCGGGGAGGCGGCAAAUAUCCAUUGAUCCGGAGAUGUCUGAAUGGGGGAACCCACCUACUAUAAGGUAGGUAUCAAUAACUGAAUACAUAGGUUAUUGAAGCGAACGAGGGGAAGUGAAACAUCUCAGUACCCUUAGGAAAAGAAAUCAAUUGAGAUUCCCUUAGUAGCGGCGAGCGAACGGGGAUCAGCCCAUUAAGUGAUGUGUGUUUUAGCGGAACGCUCUGGGAAGUGCGACCGUAGAGGGUGAUAGUCCCGUACACGAAAGGGCACACAUCAUGAUGACGAGUAGGGCGAGGCACGUGAAACC
rnacentral:rRNA from 1 species